CCUGGCCGGGUAGCGUUUCCUUGGCGUUGGACUUAUUAUUACCAUCGUCGCCACCGCCGUCAGGCUGUUUUAGUGUUGGCAAACGCACACCGCCACAAAACGCAGGUCGCAGUUUGUCCCUGCUGACCCAGCUUCGGCUCGGAGCGCCCACGGCCUCAGCCGACGCUCCUCUCCCGCCUUUGACGGAGAGAAGCCGAGUCCGCGUACCCGCGAGGCCUUGGUCCUCCGCAACAGAAAGCCAGCGCCUUACUCUUUCUGUCCUUUCUCCGUGUCGCCUCCUUUGCCCAUAGUUCGGGCUCCAGGAGGAGCUCAAGGAGGAAGGAAAAAGGAAAGGAGAUGUGGCCAGAAUCUGUGCCAGACAGCGGUGGGGAGAGUCAGGCCCCCUGUUUGCCCUGCGCAGGGAGCCAGCGCCUGGGUGCGGGCUGAUGGCUGUGCUGCAGGCCGGGAGGCGGUGGCCGUGGGGCGGGUCCUGACUAACUGCCCCCUCCCGUGACAGAUGCCAUUGAGGGCUGCACGGCGGUCGGUGGGGGCGUCCAGCCCUACCUAUAGAGGGGCCUGCACAGCACAGCAAUGCAAGUAGGUGUCACAAUUGCUUUGGAAAAAAAGUCAGCAGGCCGUUCUCUCUUCCCAAGUUCAUAAAUAAACAGAUAGGAAAAGCCGCUCUCACCCCGACCGAGUCUUGUGCCACUGUCAUGGAGCCACGAACACUGUCAGCCGCAAACUAACGGAACGGACUUUUGUUGGAUAUAUGUGAAUUUGUUGGCAUAGUAUAGCUUCCCCAAUGUAUGUGUGACUUUUAAAAACAAUCUUUUUUCUCAGGAUAUCUUGAAUUGAUCACUUCAUUGCCACGGUAUAUAUAGUCUGUAGGUGUGAUAGGAUUUACUGUAAAAUUUAUUUGUAAAAGAUGUACACAGUAGAAAUAAAACGUGAUUGAAGAACUCGAGUACUUAAGAAGUGGAAACAAAUUUGAUAUUUAUUUUUAUAAUGAUAUAAAGCUUCUAGUAAUUUAUGCAAGUUGUAUUGCAAUGGAAUCUAAACUUUUUGUAAAUAAAUUCUGCCUGGUUUUUAUUUGAACAUUGCUGGUUAUACAAUCUUUGUUGGUUGUCUAACAAUAAUUCUUUACUAAUUUAUAUCUUAAAUUGUAAAUAAAAGCAGACUAGCCUACAACCACGUGGUGUUCGGGGCGCCUCUUUCUGAGAUGAGAGAUUUGGGUAAAGAGUCCCUACCCCAGAUGACCUGACCUCAGACUUUUUAAUGAAAAUGUGUAAAAUAAUCUCCUUCUGUUCGCUCAUUAAAAAAAAAAAAAAAAAAAAAAGCAGAUGGACGAGAAAUGCAUAGUAGGGAGACAGGUGUGUCUUAGGUUAUUUAUAUGCACAUGUAUUGCAAGAAAAUUCAAAUCUCGUGCUCUAAAUAUGCAUUUACUUGUCAGUGUAAAUUUUUUAAAACUUGGGAAAAUAAAAUGACCUGACACCC